CGAGCGCGAAAGGCUUUCGGGCUGAGUAGAGCGGCGGACGGGUGAGUAACGCGUAGGAAUCUACCUGGUAGUGGGGGACAACUUGGGGAAACUCAAGCUAAUACCGCAUACGCCCUAAGGGGGAAAGCGGGGGACCUUCGGGCCUCGCGCUAUCAGAUGAGCCUGCGUAGGAUUAGCUAGUUGGUGAGGUAAAGGCUCACCAAGGCGACGAUCCUUAGCUGGUCUGAGAGGAUGAUCAGCCACACUGGGACUGAGACACGGCCCAGACUCCUACGGGAGGCAGCAGUGGGGAAUAUUGCGCAAUGGGGGCAACCCUGACGCAGCCAUGCCGCGUGUGUGAAGAAGGCCUUCGGGUUGUAAAGCACUUUAAGUGGAGAAAAGGGUAGGCGUUAAUAGCGUUUACCUGUGAUGUUACCCACAGAAUAAGCACCGGCUAACUCCGUGCCAGCAGCCGCGGUAAUACGGAGGGUGCGAGCGUUAAUCGGAAUUACUGGGCGUAAAGCGCGCAUAGGCGGUUUGUUAAGUCAGCUGUGAAAGCCCCGGGCUCAACCUGGGAACUGCAGUUGAUACUGGCCGACUAGAGUACGAGAGAGGGAGGUAGAAUUCCAUGUGUAGCGGUGAAAUGCGUAGAUAUAUGGAGGAAUACCGGUGGCGAAGGCGGCCUCCUGGCUCGAUACUGACGCUGAGGUGCGAAAGCGUGGGGAUCAAACAGGAUUAGAUACCCUGGUAGUCCACGCCGUAAACGAUGUCUACUAGCCGUUGGGAGACUUGAUUUCUUAGUGGCGCAGCUAACGCAAUAAGUAGACCGCCUGGGGAGUACGGCCGCAAGGUUAAAACUCAAAUGAAUUGACGGGGGCCCGCACAAGCGGUGGAGCAUGUGGUUUAAUUCGAUGCAACGCGAAGAACCUUACCAGGUCUUGACAUCCUCGGAACUUGGCAGAGAUGCCUUGGUGCCUUCGGGAACCGAGAGACAGGUGCUGCAUGGCUGUCGUCAGCUCGUGUCGUGAGAUGUUGGGUUAAGUCCCGUAACGAGCGCAACCCUUGUCCUUAGUUGCCAGCACGUAAUGGUGGGAACUCUAAGGAGACUGCCGGUGACAAACCGGAGGAAGGUGGGGACGACGUCAAGUCAUCAUGGCCCUUACGACCUGGGCUACACACGUGCUACAAUGGAGCGCACAGAGGGCAGCAAAAGCGCGAGCUGGAGCCAAUCCCACAAAACGUCUCGUAGUCCGGAUCGGGGUCUGCAACUCGACUCCGUGAAGUCGGAAUCGCUAGUAAUCGUGGAUCAGAAUGCCACGGUGAAUACGUUCCCGGGCCUUGUACACACCGCCCGUCACACCAUGGGAGUGGGUUGCUCCAGAAGUGGUUAGCCUAACCUUCGGGAGGGCGAUCACCACGGAGUGAUUCAUGACUGGGGUGAAGUCGUAACAAGGUA
rnacentral:rRNA from 1 species